GGGGCUGUGGCUUAGUUGGUUAAAGCGCCUGUCUAGUAAACAGGAGAUCCUGAGUUCGAAUCUCAGCAUCUAUA
rnacentral:tRNA from 1 species